rnacentral:rRNA from 1 species
AAUAUUGGACAAUGGGCGAAAGCCUGAUUCAGCCAUGCCGCGUGUGUGAAGAAGGUCUUCGGAUUGUAAAGCACUUUAUUUUGGGAGGAAGGGUUGUAGGUCAAUACUUUGCAGUUUUGACGUUACCAACAGAAUAAGCAGCGGCUAACUUCGUGCCAGCAGCCGCGGUAAUACGAAGGGCGCAAGCGUUAAUCGGAAUUACUGGGUGUAAAGCGCGCGUAGGUGGUUCGUUAAGUUGGAAGUGAAAGCCCCGGGCUUAACCUGGGAAUUGCUUUCAAAACUGACGAGCUAGAGUACGGUAGAGGGUAGUGGAAUUUCCUGUGUAGCGGUGAAAUGCGUAGAUAUAGGAAGGAACAUCAGUGGCGAAGGCGACUACCUGGACUGAUACUGACACUGAGGUGCGAAAGCGUGGGGAGCAAACAGG